rnacentral:rRNA from 1 species
GAUUGAACGCUGGCGGCAGGCUUAACACAUGCAAGUCGAGCGGAGAUGAGGUGCUUGCACCUUAUCUUAGCGGCGGACGGGUGAGUAAUGCUUAGGAAUCUGCCUAUUAGUGGGGGACAACAUUCCGAAAGGAAUGCUAAUACCGCAUACGCCCUACGGAGGAAAGCAGGGGAUCUUCGGACCUUGCGCUAAUAGAUGAGCCUAAGUCGGAUUAGCUAGUUGGUGGGGUAAAGGCCUACCAAGGCGACGAUCUGUAGCGGGUCUGAGAGGAUGAUCCGCCACACUGGGACUGAGACACGGCCCAGACUCCUACGGGAGGCAGCAGUGGGGAAUAUUGGACAAUGGGCGGAAGCCUGAUCCAGCCAUGCCGCGUGUGUGAAGAAGGCCUUUUGGUUGUAAAGCACUUUAAGCGAGGAGGAGGCUACCUGGAUUAAUACUCUAGGAUAGUGGACGUUACUCGCAGAAUAAGCACCGGCUAACUCUGUGCCAGCAGCCGCGGUAAUACAGAGGGUGCGAGCGUUAAUCGGAUUUACUGGGCGUAAAGCGUGCGUAGGCGGCUGAUUAAGUCGGAUGUGAAAUCCCUGAGCUUAACUUAGGAAUUGCAUUCGAUACUGGUCAGCUAGAGUAUGGGAGAGGAUGGUAGAAUUCCAGGUGUAGCGGUGAAAUGCGUAGAGAUCUGGAGGAAUACCGAUGGCGAAGGCAGCCAUCUGGCCUAAUACUGACGCUGAGGUACGAAAGCAUGGGGAGCAAACAGGAUUAGAUACCCUGGUAGUCCAUGCCGUAAACGAUGUCUACUAGCCGUUGGGGCCUUUGAGGCUUUAGUGGCGCAGCUAACG